rnacentral:rRNA from 1 species
GAUGAACGCUGGCGGCGUGCCUAAUACAUGCAAGUCGAGCGAACGGACGAGAAGCUUGCUUCUCUGACGUUAGCGGCGGACGGGUGAGUAACACGUGGAUAACCUACCUAUAAGACUGGGAUAACUUCGGGAAACCGGAGCUAAUACCGGAUAAUAUUUUGAACCGCAUGGUUCAAUAGUGAAAGACGGUCUUGCUGUCACUUAUAGAUGGAUCCGCGCUGCAUUAGCUAGUUGGUAAGGUAACGGCUUACCAAGGCAACGAUGCGUAGCCGACCUGAGAGGGUGAUCGGCCACACUGGAACUGAGACACGGUCCAGACUCCUACGGGAGGCAGCAGUAGGGAAUCUUCCGCAAUGGGCGAAAGCCUGACGGAGCAACGCCGCGUGAGUGAUGAAGGUCUUCGGAUCGUAAAACUCUGUUAUUAGGGAAGAACAAAUGUGUAAGUAACUAUGCACGUCUUGACGGUACCUAAUCAGAAAGCCACGGCUAACUACGUG